GGGCCCCCUCCCUGCGCGCUCCUGGCGGCCCCUGCUGCCAACGCGCCCCACCACUAAGGGACCCUCACCCCAAGGCCCGACCCCUGCAGCCCCUCUUGCGAACACUCCGGGAUCCCUCGAUGCUCUGGGCCUCCCUAGCAGUAACUAACCACCAACUGCCCCCUCCCCAGGAGCCCGGGCCGCACACCCUCUGGAUGGCCUCUCCCCGAGACCCUAACCCCGCCACGCUCCUUCACCGCUGAACGUGGUCAGUCCGAGCGCAGUUACCUACCCAGACCGUUCCCUCCCCUAGCUCGGGCGCUGUCUGGGUGGACUGGGGGUUGGGAUGGUUCGGACGACAGCGGCGGAACAGCAGGAGCCGAGAGGGGCAGAGAGGGGCAGGAACUACAGGGCUCUAGAGGGCACCUGGGCCUCGGACACGCGGCCGCUCAGGGCUGUGCUUGACCCAGUGGAGGUGGCCCGGCCGGUGGCUCCAGAAAGGGGGAGGGGGCACCCCUCCCCGGGCGUGGCCUUCGCAGGCCAACGGGCCCAAUUGCCUGGGGCGAGGCCGUGGAGACCCGGACUGGCGCCGGCGCCAGCUGGAGGGAGACGCCCCCGGGCAAGAGGUGGCGAUUCUUCAUCAACUCGUAAAAUGAGAUCGCCGCGGAGCUCGAGCCUAUUUGGCGUCUCCGGAGACUAGCAAGACCCUCUGAAAGACACCGCGUCCCCAGGGAUAAUCCCCCGUGUCCGGCAAAGCUGCCCCGCUCGAGCGCGAACCCUGGGACCCAGCGCGGGAGGCAGACCAGCAGCUGGCCGCUGGGCUGUGAACGCCAGGACCGAGCGGAAGCUUCCCGCCCGGCCGCGAUCGGUGCCGCGGCUCUCAGGGAAGUGGCUACGCGCGUCCCUCGGGAAAGCAGGUAAUUCGCCUUUUUCUCCCACCGGCGCGGUAAAAAUUACCCUCCCCCUCCCCGUUCCGUGUGUAUUCCCAGUUUCAGCGCAGCGAGCUCGGCGUCUAACCCCUCCGCGGCAGGGUCCCGGCCACUGCGGUAGUGGAGGUGGCCAGCCUGGCUGAGUCCCCUGCCCAAACGUCAGCCCUGUGCUGCCGCCUGCCUGACGCAGAGCGGAGCGAGGGAGGGGAUUUAAUUACCCCGCUCGGCAGCUCAGAAAAUCGCCGCACAGAGGGGCUUAGCAGGACGGUUAAGGAGUGCUUGAGCAGGGGCCUCGGGAGACCCGAACCAGCCUCCUUGCCCGCAAUCCGGUGUAGAGGAAAAAAAGGAAACAGGAGUUCUGCCAGGUCCUUUCAGGCCUUGGGGUUGCCUUCCUCGACAACGCAGGCAGGAGCCGGCUUGACCGAAGCCUCCACCUCGGUUGCAGGUCCUGCGUAGGAUGCGGGACUGCUGCAUUCUCUGGCGGAAACGAACCCGCCUGGGAGAGAGAAAUGCGACGCCAAGUAGCAGGGCGCCCAGCUGGCCAAUAAAGAGGGACCCGCGCUCGACAAUGUCUGUGUGUGCCAGGCAGACCGAGGGACACCAACCGGGCCCCUCCCCAUUAGGCCGAAGACAUGGUCCUCCCACCUUGGGCCCCAAACAAACUCCCGGGGAGGGUCAACGCAGCCCCCAGAAUCUGCUGGGGUCUUGAGGCGCUGUUCCAGGCCUGGUGAGAGCAGAUUUACUCCAAUUUAUGGGCUGGAACUUUGGGGUCCCCAAAACACCUUUAGAGGGACGCGUUCCCUUUUUCAGUACUUUGUUCGUUCGGGAGUAUAGUUGGAAAUGCUGGCGCUGCCUUUGAUCACAUUAAGAAGCUGUCACUUUCCUUACUUGGGAACAAGAUUUCUCUGAGGACUGGAGAAGGUCAGCCAGGAAGCAGAAUUUUCGAAGGACCCUUUUGGCCCGAGAACUCACAGCGGCGAUCGCCACCAUUUGACCUGGGUGCUUCUGCCUGGGAGCUGGGGAGGUAGCAGAUCUGGUGCCCGGUUCUAGAGUGCUUCUCAGGCCUCUACUAAGCCGCGGGUGCCAGGUGGGGACACAGAGAUGCCCAGGUCUCCCCGGCCGUCCAGCCCCCCCCCCCCUCUGAGCCCUUUGUUUAAAGUUAGCUCAUCCGAGGCGGCCCCUUUGGGACCAUAAGUUUGCCCUCCCUUUGUAACCUAAUUCUUCUCGCCUUUUCCUUAUGGGCAGCUAAUUGGCCCGCGGUGUGGGGCUGGGGGUGGGGUGUCAAGGAAACCCAUUUGCUAAGGGACUACCUUCCAUAGAGAAAUUUAAUUCGCAACCCAGCGGCCUCCCAGCCCCACACUGGCAAUAAACCUUGAGGGGUACGGGGAGGAAGUGGGGUGCCUUAGCAGAUGGGUUCAGAAGUUCCCUUAAAGCCGGGGCAUUAGAUCUCAGGCCAGCAGCCAUCCCUCCGGGGGGGUUCCCAAGGGGGGGACUACUGCUAUAACGGCCCCUCCUGCUCCUUGAGGUUCAAUUCCAGCCCCUUAAAGCAGAAGGCUCCCUCCCUCGGCAUCAGUGCAGGCUCUCCCACCUCAUUACUGUUCUGUGUCUUUGGGAAUCGUAGAGUCUGUGGCCCCCACGUCCUAGGUGUCUCGGCACCCUGGACCCAGGCGCCUCCGAGAUUCUAUAUCGCUUCUGACCCCUACCUUCAAGCCUGGCAGGCUCCCCGCGGAACCCUGCUGAGACCCGGAGACAAUCGGGCCGUGCUUCUCCCUCCUCCACGAACAGCCACGGUUUAUUUGGAGCGGCCGGGGCCGGCGGCCUGACAACUGGUAAAUCCGUUUCGUUAGGCACAAUUUGUCUGCAAUUUGUCAGCCCGGCUGGGAAACGCUCCCCAGACGCCUCGGCUGCCGCACGGGCCCUACCUGGUUCUCGAAUCCUGCCUGCUCAUAAACGAAUCCUAGCACGGGGUGCCUGCGUAGACCUGGAGCUCACCACCAGAUGUUCCCGACCUCGGGAGAGGAGGCUUUUUCCAAAACAACGAAUUUCCUUCCUUGUUUUCCGGUAAAGGAGCGUUCGCCACACACGGGGUCCCUGAACGCGGGGCCUUUCCCCUCGUGGUUGGAGCAACGCGGAGUUCAAGCCUGGCCGCCACAGAAUAAUUUUAAAUGCCCCGUUUUCAGACAGAUCCAGAACGCCGUCUACGCCUACCGGCGGCAGAUCUUCAAGCCCGCGGCGGCCCCAUUCUUAUUGAAAUCCCACUAAACGGAUUCCGACUCCGGCUUGGGGCGGGGGGAGACUUCCAGACCCGGCGCUCUCCCCCACACGCACCCCAGUCACACAGGAUAAAGGGCUGCGGGGCGCAGCGCGCGGGGGCGCAAGCAGGAGCGAGCUGGGUUAAGCCGCGAAAAGCCGGCGCACGGGACCAGCCGGCAGGUGCAGCCGCCGCUCGGCGGCCCGGCUCGGACGCAUCCGCCGCGGUGGCCUGGGGAUUGGGGGCGGCCGAGACAAAGGCCCCAGUUCGGGGGCCGGGAGGCGGGGGUGCUUUGCGAGGCUCUGGGAAUGCCAGGGUCUCGUGGCCUGUGGCUCCGAGAAAUGGGAAGACAAGAGGCCCGAGGCGGGCCUGCUGUGCCCAGAUUAUCGGAGCCCUUUCAGAGAGCGCACAACAAAUGCGCCCGCCAUCGAAUGCAUCAUUUACCACCGCAGAUCCGAGCGCUGAUGGGCAGGCAGAUAGCCCUCUGCUGGGGGCACGCGGGCUCCCCGUGCCCGUACCACUCGCCUGCCUGCCGGGGCCACUGAGUGUGCGCCCCGGUGUGCCCGGCGUGUUUGGAUGGACACGUGGGUGUGCCAGUGCAUGGGCUAACGCCGAUGCAACUGUGCGGGUGUGUCAAACAAGUGUACCACAAAAAAGUGCAGGUGUGCGAGCCCAUCCAUGCACACGCAUGGCAGGCGUCUGUGCUGUGUCCGGAGGCGGCCGAUGAGGCGGGUGGAGGGUUCACACAGGAGGCGGUGCUGCACUAAGCUUGUGGGCAGGCAUGCGGCCCAGGGUGGCUGGACACGUGGUGGAGGAAUGGGAAUGCAAGCCCGCGUGUCCGAGUGCAGCGGAUGAGCAUCCUGCGAGUGCCUCACUGUGUCUGCCCUGGAGGUGGCUGUUUAGGGGAGCACGCCGGAGGCCACUAGGGUGGAUGUGCUGUGUGCAUGCAAGUGCCCACCCUACGUUGUGUUUCGGGGCACACAAGCUACCUGUGCCUACCGGGAUGAGCAUGCAAGUGUCACCGCUCCCGCCGGGCGUGCUUGGGGUGUGCUUGGGUCUGCGUGAGGCUGUGUGUGUCCUGCCGUAUCUCUGCCCAGGUGUGCCCUGGUGAGCUGAGAGAGGGGCACGGGGAAGGGCAGUCGUCGGGGCCUGUCCGUGUGCCAGCGUGGGUGGACUCCGGGCUGGGGAAGCGACAGGGAAUGGUGUGUGCCGGUGUGACAGACGCCAGAGCGGCGGGGUGGAACGUGCUGUGUCACGGGAGACUUUCUUGACCAAAACGGAAUGUGCGAGUGUGGAAGGAAGAGGGGCCGUCCGCGGAGUUUGGGGACACCCGGGCGUCCGAGCCCCAGAGCCUCUGCAGCUGGGACAAGGAAGCCCGAGCCCGCCGCCUGAGGUCCCCGCGCCGUUAGUGACACGCGCCGCCGACAAAGGCUGUAUUUUUCCAGGCUCGCGCCCCGCCCGCGCGCGCGCGAUGGUCCCCAUGGCGACGCAGAUAGCGCCGCAGCCAUUUUCCCUAUCUCCCCAGAGUCUAUUAUACGGCGGGAUUAGCUCAUCUCCAGGCAGGUCAAACCCAAAGUCACACAACCUGCGACGCGGGCCCCGCCCCCACUCCCCGGCCGCCCCUCCCCUGCCCCGGCCCCGGCCCCGGCCCCAGCCCGGCGACCCCCGGCUGCUGCCCAAGCGCAGGCGCAGAGCGCCACCUGGCGGCGGCGGGGUCUCGGGUGGGGUCCGCGGAGCCGGUGCCCGUGCAGAAGAGGUGGGGUGAGGGUCUCUACCUCCAGAAGGCGGGCUCUCUGGGAGCAGGGGCUUUGCUUUGUCACUGCUGUUCCCCAGGGCCAGACUAACACACAGUAGGUGCUCCAUAAGUGUUUCUUGAAAGGAUGUUUGGAGGGAUGGAUGGAUGGAUGGAUGGAUGGGCAGGAAAUUAUAGACGGGGGCAAACUGCCAAAGGCUACAGUUUAGUUGGCAGCAAAAAAAUCGUUUCUGAGAACGCAUCCCACUGAAUUUAGAAUAAAAGCCAAACUCUUAGAACCUAUGUAGUGGCCCUUACUGACCUCUCAGACCUGAUUUCCUUCUUCCUCACUGCAGCCACAAUGACUCUCUUCUUGUUCCAGAGUGUUCCCACCCCAGGGCCUUUGAGUCUACUGUCCCCUCCACCCCGAAUGCAUUCUGACUCCACUCAAGUGUCACUCUCCAAGAGCCAAGUUGCUCCCCUGUCCCCUGCUCUUCUCUGUCUAUGCAUUCUUUUAUAGUGCUUAACACAGUCUGAAAUAGUCUCGCCCCUGUGUGUGUGUUGUCUGACUCCCCCUCUAGAAUACCAGGAUCCUUGGAGGUGAGGGAGUUCCUGUUUUGCUUGUGGCUACAGCUCAGCCACUGGAAUCAUAUCUGACAAUUGGUUGGCAUCAGUCGCAACUCUGGGAAUGAGGGAAUGAGGACUAGAGGGGGCUGGACGGGCCCAGCCACCUGCCUUCAUCAUUGUCAUUUCUCUUUAUCACUACGGUAACUCCUCCUUCCCCUCAUGACUUUGGAAGUCAUUCAGCAGCCACUCCAGCCCCACCAACCUGCCCCUAUCCCAGAGGGGCCUGGGAUGGAGGGAGAGAACCACUGAGGCCCCUCCACAUCCCUGCACCCGCUCCUCCCCAUCUCUGCCGUGGAAGGGACUCAGAGGUGUCAGGCCAAGCAUGCAGGCAGGCUUGUGACAAACUCCUUGGCCAGGAGCUCUGAGAAUUAGCUUCACUUCCCUCAGAAAUGCCCCAAUUCCCUCCUGGAAGAGGAGCUGUGUGACAGCUCAGGCCAGGGGGUCGGGACUCCCCCCAUCUCCUCCGCACACACAUACCCCUGCACACAUACCCAGCCACGUACAGCUGGGUGGCUGUACGCAAGUCAUUUUUCCACUCUGAGCCUCAGGGUCUUCCUCUGUCCACCUCCCCCCAGGAUUACUGGCAGAAUUAGGUGUGAGCUUGCAUUUAAAAAGAGGUUUGUUUUGUAAACCCAGGCUUUGCAAAUUGGCAGCCCAAGUCUCGGGGGCCUGUGCAGUGACUGAUCAUUACCAACAUUUCGAAGUGAGAGAUGUCACAUAAAGAGCGUCAUUUCGAGCUUCUCUUGAAAAGUUGUAAGGUGAGCUACCCUGGGACUGUAUUCCUGAAUGGCAAUGUGAUGGCAGAGUCCUGCAGUAUUACCACCUGUGGACUUGUGCACCAGGGUUCCCACCCACCCACUUCAGGCCCUUGGUUCAGGGAUGUGCCCGUCAUGGAAAUACCAGGUGCUGUGGCUCUGCUGGUUUUGGCUUUCCUUCUCUGUAACCUUCCAAUAUCUUUCUCCUUCCAGGUACUGUAAACCACUUAGUAAUUAAUUAGUUAAUAAAUUCAUCUCAUCAGCACUUUUAAAUAAUGUGCUAGGCCACACUGUCAUGGACCCCAGAUAUACAGCAGCAAACAAAGCAGCCAUGGUACCUUCCCUCAGGGAGCAGUCAGUCCAGUGGAGGAGUCAGAUAUGACUCACCACACAGAUCGAAAAAUCUCCACAAAUUAUGAGAAGAAUGCUGAGGGAAGAAAGAACAUAGGUGGACCGCUGCUGAGUCCAGGCUUACUUGCAGAGAUCUAUGCUGGCCAGGCCCUGUGCUAGGCAGCAGAGGACAUGGAAUAAAAUCAAAUAAGGUCACUGUGUGCAGGCACCUCACGGUGUGGUAAAGGAGCAGCCCCAUCCACAGGUUCUAUUAAUUCCAGCCUGUGAGAAUUGGAACCACAGGGUGAAUUUUGGAGGACAGGCACUUACACUAAUCUGGAAGCAUAAUAUAUAAAGAGUACCUACAAAUCAAUAAAAAAAAAUAGAAAAAAAAAGAGCAAAGUAUAUGAACAGAAAAUUCAAUGAAAAGGAAAUAGAAAUGGCUCUUAAAUGAAUGAAAACAUACUCUCACUCAGAGAAAUGAAAAUUUAACCCAUGUCAAGAUACUUGGGGUGAAGGAAGUGUUUUAAAAUUCGAUUGUGGUGAUGGUUAUAACCCUAUAAAUUUACUAAAACUUAUUGAAGUGUACCUUUAAAACAAAUGAACUUUAUAGUAUGUCAGUUAUAUCACAAUAAGGCUAUUUUAAAAAUAAAAACACUUUGAGAUACCAUUUUAUACCUGUUGGUAUUAGCAAAUGUCAAAACACUGGAUAAUGCAUUAUGUUCCUAAAGGCAUGGGGGAGACGGCCUGGGGCAAGCGUCCACUGAUGCAUUCUUGGGUUGGGGUGGGCAACAGGACGCUGUCAAACAUACAAAUACAUUUACGCUUUGAGCUGGGAAUUCCACUCAUAGGACUUCAUCUGAUAUAUAUGCUUUACAUCUGAAAAAUGUAUAAGGAAAUUCACCACAGCCUCAUAGAUUAUGGCAAAAGUUUGGAAACAAAAGAUGUUUGUCUACAGGUGAAAGGUUAUGCCACUGUCAAAAAAAAAAAAAAAAAAAAAAACAGAGAGAGAGAGAAAGAAAGGACAAGAAAAAGGAAAGAGUAGUUCUUUGCAUACUGAUACGGCAUUAUCCCAAGAUAGAAUUUGUGUGAAAAUAAAGGUGCAGUACAGUGAUGACAGUGAUGUGUUACCACUUGAUUAAGAACUGGGGUAAGGAGAGAAAAUAUAUACAUUUGCUUACAUAUUUACAGAAUUUCUCUGGAUGGAAAACAAAAGAAGCUGUUAACAAUGGUUGACAUCUACCUGGGUUUGGGACCUGGGUUUGGGUGGCUGGGGACAGGGAUGGGAGAAAGAUUUUCAUGGUGUACCCUUUGAUUCCUGUUGAAAUUACAUAGACAGAUAGAUGAUAGAUAGAUAGAUAGAUAGAUAGAUAGAUAGAUAGAUAGAUAGAUGGAGAAAUAUAUACACAGUCACAUACAUACACACACAUAUAUAUAUCCUGUAUAGGAAAACGAGAUUAAAAUGCACAAUGAAAACUUUUUGACUACAAAGUAAAGAUGGAAAAAAGUUUGCCAGGAAGAAAAGCUGGGGGAAAAUUCCAGCCGCUGGCUAAAACAUAAAGAAACAAGAAUUCCCUUGCCCUAUUACCAGGAAUGUAAAUUGUUCCAACUAUUUUGCAGAGUAAUUUGCCUGUUUCUGGCAAAUCUGAAGAUUGGAAUGCCACACGGCCCAGCCAUUCCUUUUCCAGGCAUAUGAGAAGCCCUCACACAUGAGCAAGAAAGAGAUGUGGCCAAAGACAUUCAUGGAGCCCUGUUUGUUAAAACAGAGAAAAAGAAAUUAAGAAAUACCCAGCCUGGGCAACAUAGGGAGACCCUGUCUCUACUAAAAAUAAAAAUUUAUACUUGGGAGGCUAAGGCAGGAGGAUCACUUGAGCUCAGAAGAUCGAAGCUUGCAAUCAGCUGUGAUCGUGUCACUGCAUGCCAGCCUGGGUGACAGAGAGUGAGACCCUGUAUCAAUAAAGAAAGAAAGAAAGAAAAGAAACAGAAAUAAACUUAGGACACAGCAGACGGCCCAUCCUGAGGGUACCACAUAGCAGAUGCUGGGACCUUUUUUCAGGUGGACGCCACAUGACCUUUCCUUUGCAGGCAUCCAUGCUGAUGUUCACAAGGCACACAGCAUUUCAGCUGAAGAAAGAACUGGCAGGAUUUUCAUCACGAAAGGGCACUGUCUAUCGUUUAUGAAAAUGAAGCAUAUGAAGUAAAAGUUUGGAAACAGAUGGAAUUAAAUCUUCUGACAGAUUUUAAAAUAAGAUCUAAAAAAGAGCAAGACAUGCUCUUGGAUGGGGAAACUUAAUAUCAGAAAAAUGUCAAUUUUCCCAUUUUUUCCAUAUAAAUUUAAUGUAAUUCAAAUUCCAUUACCAACAGGGUGAUUUUUUAAAAAACUAGAUAAAAUGAUCUGAAAGAUUAUGCAGCAGAAUAAAUGCCCAAGAAUUACCAGGGAAGACUGGAAAAAAGACUGCUGUGGGGGUUUUGCCUUCCUGGAAAUAAGACCAUACUGCAAAGUCACUGUAAUCAGAUCAAUAUGGCAUUGGCAGAGGACUAGACAAUGGAAAGGAAUGGAGAAUACAAAAAUAAGUUUCAGGAUAUAUGAGAAUGAGAUAUAUGCCAAAGGUAGUAUUUUGAUUCGGUGGGAGAAGGGCAGACUGUGAAGUAAGUGGUACCAGCCACAACUGAAUAUCCAUCUGGGAUAAAAUAAAAUUGCACUCGUCUUAGAGAUCCAAAUCAACUUCAGAUGGAUUAAAACUUUGAAUGUAAAAAACAUAAAUGACUAACAGUCCUGCAAAAUAUCUUGGAGACAACCUGUGCCAUCUGGAGAGUGGGAAGAGCACAUGCAAAGGCCAAGGGGUGGAGCAGCCCAGCAUGUUCUGGAAAAGGUAGGGCUCCCCAAGGCUGGGAUGAUGGUGGAGACCUGGGUGUGUGGGAGCACAGGGGUGGGGGCCCGUGGGCCAGGAAUGCACAGAGAGGGGCUGGUGCUCUGCCGCAGGCCCAAGCCCCCAAAGCCCGGUCAUUCCCAGCACCAUCUUCACGGGUUUCUGCCCAGGUCUUUCUGCUGCAUCUCUUCCUCCCCCGAUUCCUUAAUCAUUUUUUUUAAAAUCAGUUCAUGUCUUUGUAAACCAAAUUAUUUCUAAAAGGCAAAUUUAUAUUACUGCCGAAAUCAAGGGUCAGUGAGCUAGUUGUGUAUGUUCUGAAUCACAUGGAAAUAAAUGCAUCGAACAUUAAGAAGGAAAGAGUGUCUAGCGUUAGCUACCUUGGUGUGCUGGGCUCAAUGUGCAUUUUGGAAGUUGCCCUGCCACCUUGUGGGCAGGAGGGACUGGAUGAGUAGGGAGUCGGAGUGAGCAUGAAGGUGACCAGAAAGUCCAUUCCUUAGAAAGUGAGGAGGUGGCAGCCAGGGUCCAGGCCUGGGCCCUGCCUGCCCCCUCCUCACACACCAGCCUCCCGUCUGUCAUUCUAGAACCUGACCACUUCCCGCCUCAACAAGCAGCCGGCCUGGUCCUAGCUCUCGCCUGGACUACUGGAAUAGCCUCCUUGCUGGAAGUCCUCAACUUCCCCACUUUCUGUUCAUAGUACAGUGGCCGGCGGGGGCCCGUGAGGAUAGAAGUCAGGCCAGGUGCAGUGGCUCACGCGUGUAGUCCCAGCACUUCAAGAGGCCAAGGUGGGUGGAUUGCUUGAGCCCAGGAGUUCAAGACCAGCCUAGGCAACACAGUUAAACCCCAUCUCUACAGAAGAUACAAAAGUUAGCUAGGCGCAGUGGCGCACGCCUGUAGUCCCAGCUACUUUGAAGACUGAGGCGGGAGGAUCACCUGAACCCAGAAGGUCAUGGCUUCAGUGAGGCUGAUUGUGUCACUGCACUCCAUCCUGGGCAACAGAGUGAGACCCUGUCUCAAACAAAAACAAAAAAAGAUGUAAGUCAAACCUGUCCCAUCUGCGCCACACCCUCCCGCAGCACCCGGGUCCCUCUUGGCCUCUUUGGUCUCAUUCCCUUUGCUUGCUCCACUCCAGCCCCACUGGCUUCCUUCUUGUUUCUCAAACAGCUGGCACACAUCCACCCCAGAACAUUGGCACUAGCUGUCCCUGUACCCAGAUACCACAUGGCUUCCUCAUACUUUGGGCCUGGUCACCUUCUUGGACCACCUCCUGAUGAACUGUGGGUGACAGCUGGAGCACAGGUGGGUUCUGGAAGCCCUGCAGCCUGGGGUCAGGAUGAAGAUUACCCAGGGCCAGCAGGCAAGCCUGAGAGGCCGGUCUCCAGGCUUUGCAGCUCCCGGCAAGAGGUCCCAGAGGUCUUGCCCUUCCAGAGAUGAAUGCUUGAGGCCCAGAACAUGGGGCCAUCCGGAGCCAAGGCCUGGGAUGUUAGAGGAGGGGAACUCGGGACUCCAUGCAAGGACCACGGGUCAGCCCUGUGCCUGUCCAGACCACCUGCAUGGGACACAGCAGGGGCCCAGAACUGGGCAUCCAGUGGAUCACUGCAGCAGCAUCUGUGUGUCCAUAUCCAGGUAGCCGCACCCAGAUUUUCCCUCCAGGGACCACCCCCUCCCACUCUCAGUUCAAGGUGGUCCAUGUGGAGCACCCACCUCUGGCCCAGCCAGUCAGAGCCAUCCUGGCUGAUUGAUUCUGGGCACAUGACUCUGGAGGAUCCAUGGAGAGUCCAACCUGGAAACUUGGCAAGAAUCCUCGGGGACUGCCCUCCUGCUGGGGUCAUGUGGCACUGGGAGCUGCGGUGGCCAUCUUUACUGCCACCCAGGAGAGCCUGCCGGAGAGUGAGACCAACACAGAGCAGCAGAGACAGAGACAGACUGGCUCCCGAGCGUUCAGCCCCAGUGCCGGAAGCCAGCUAGAGCCCUGGCCUUUUCAGUGACAUGAGCCAAUGACAACUCCCAGUUCUCUCCCUCCGGUCAAUCUGAAGCCGGGUUUUUGCCUCUUACAACUGAAAGAGUCCUGGUGGUCACAGGCAUGGCUGAUUAAAGAUGCCCACCAGGUCUUUGUUACACCCUCAUAUACUUGGGGCCUUGAAUGUGGGUGUGCUCUGAGAUGACUUGACCAGGAGAAUACGGUAGCAGUGACACUGCAGUUUCCAGCCCAGGCCUGAAGAGAUGAUUAGCGCCCACUCCUUGCUUCUUGAAAGUCUCUCCUUGGGAGUCCUGGGCUGCUAUGUUAAAAAUCCAACUGCCCUGAGGCCACCAUGAUGUGAGGAGGCUGGAGCCAGGUGGAGAGGCCAUGGUGGCGAAAGAGCUGCCGGACCAGUUCCCAUUGCCCCAGCCCCCAGCCAUCUGAGUCAUCCCCACUGAGGACACAGAUAUCACAGAGCAGAUACGAGCUAUCCCUGCACCGCCCAUCCAGAUUCUUUACCCAGUUUGUGAGAUAUAAUAAUAAUGAACUGUUUUAGGCCACUGAGUUUUGGGGUCAUUUUUAAAGCAGCAAUAGACAGAUGGAACAAUAGUAAUGAGCAAAGGGCCACAUAUACCUAUUGGAUUGGGAAGCAAGACAGAGAUGGGGCUGCCACUGUGCGCAGGAUCGACUCACCUCCUUGGGAAUUCUUAUACACGCCCGUAUGAGUGCAGGAUGCAUGAGUAGGAUAGUGGAGCCGAAAGGGUCUUGAUAGCAGAUGGCCUUGAAUUUGAGUCCCUACUCUGCUGUAAGAUCAGCUCUGAGUCCCAGGGCUAUGUUAUUUCCCCUCCUCGAGCCUCAGUUUCUUCACCUAUCAUAUAAAAAUAUUAGUACUGUGUUGCUAGGAUGAGAUUCAGCUGCACAUAACAAGGAGAUACAAAUUUUUUUUUCUGUCAUGUGAAAAUUCACAGGUAGGCAAUCCAGGGCUACUAUAUCACUCCCUGGUGUCAGAAAGCAAGGUUGGCUUUCGUCGCCUCACAUUCCAAGAUGGCUGUUACAGCCUCACCAUUGUAUCUACAUUCCAGGGAGCAGCAAGGAGGAAGUGAAUAAAGAACAAAAUGUUCACAUCAGCUGUCUCUUAAGGAAGUCCCCUGAAAGCUGACACAUCCACUUGUAUCCCAUUGGCUAAAGCACAGUCACAUGACCAUAUCUAGCUGCAAAGGAGGCUAGGGAAUGUAGUCUUGCUCUGGGAAAUCAUGUGCUCAGCUAAAAUUCUAUGGAGGAAUAAUAGCUUUUGGAAGAUACCUGACAGUCUCUGCCAAAAGUAUCUAUGUCAAGAGUUUAUGUAAUGACUGACGUGAUUUUGAAGAGGUUUUGUUUUGAACCUCUGCUGCAUGCCAGUUUCCACAAAACUAACUGCAAAAGACAUAAUCAGGUCUUUUGUAGGACAUGGCACAGGGGCUGACACAUAGUAGGUGCCCAGUAAAUGAGGCGUCCUUGUUUGCUCUUCUAGCUGCACACCUUGCUGCUCUCCUCAAUGGUGUUUCUCUGCCCCAACCCUCCAAGGAUGAGCUCCCUCCCCAAGAGGAUACCCUGUUUCAUUUUCUUCACAUCAUUUACCAUAACUAUUUGUUUCUUAAUUUGUUCAUCAUCCAUCUCUCUCCACUCUAAUAUACACAACACGAAGAGAGGGAGAGUAUCUCUAGGGUCCCACCAAGGAAAUAGAAGUCACUUGAAAAGUGUAAAGCUUAAUUUAAAAGUUAAAAUUCAGAGAUGUGAUUGUGCAGGUGAUGGAAUUGCUAAGAACAGGGGACAAUGAGGCAGCACAGAAAUUAGGAGCAAGAAGCUGUUACCUCCCCAGGGUUGGAGGGGCAAUGGGAGGAGAUGGCAUUACCAGAGCCCAAGGCCUGGGUGACACAGGGAGACUCAGCAGGCCUGUCCAGUGGGAGCUGUAGCUGUAGGAAAGACAGAGCCACACCAGAGAUGCCACCUGAGAUGAAGAGGAAGGGGGAGAAUACCCUGGCUCCUCCCUUGUUCACUCCAGGGCCUCUCAUUGGCUGAAUCCAGCAGGAAUCCAGCUGGCCUCACACCUUGGGGCUAAGCUCCCCUCCCUGAUGGGUGACACAGAGCCAAGGGAUGGGAUAACAAGAGCUAAGGGCAAACUAGCCCGGGGCUGGCACUGGUGACUUCAUCUGUCUUGUUAUCUUCUGCAUCUGGAGCUUCAAAGGCACAGCCUGGCACACGGUAGGACCUCAAUAAACAGUGGAUGAAUAGAUUGGGGUUCUCAACUCACCUUAGCACCUAUAGAAGCUGUUUAGAGUCCACAAAACAACUCUUGUACCUGUGAGGGCUCCUAGGUGCUAGGCCCACAAAGGGAGGCAUGUUAUGGCCGUGGCAUUCUGCUUGGCCAGGAUCCGAGAGGAGCCUCCCAAUUGGAGGAUUUAGCCCAAGUUGCUUCAUUCCCUGUCCAGUGGAGCCUGGCCUCUCUCUCAGCCUCCAUCAACACCCAGAAUCCUCCAUGAUGAGCUCCUAUCCCACCAGGGCAGAGAGUGGGCAUGUCCUCAUCAGGGAGAGAAAGGACAGAGACAGACAGACAGGAAGAGAGAAACAGCCAUGCAGCCAGGGCUGGGGCUCUGCUUGCCAUUGCCCUCUAUGCACUCUAACUGUGGCAAAACCUGUGCAAAGUACAUGGAUGCUACCAACCACUGGCAAAGGAAUAGGAAGCAUAUUCCUGUGGCCCGGCAAAUGCGUGGGGAUGGCUUCAUCCACAUCCUGCAGGAAGAAAUUAAAUUAAUUGACAGGUCCAAAUGUGAGUGGACAGGUGGGGCAGCAGGAGCUCUGCACGCCACUGGUGGGAGUGUUUUUUGGAAAGUGCACUUUGUAAGAGAAUUUGGCAACACUAACAAGGACGUGUGUACAGGUGAGCUCAGCAGUUCCCUGCACAGGUAAAAUCUCAGCAGCAUCCACUGAUAUAAACACAACCACAGUAACAACGCCUGGGAGCCACCCAGGUCCAUUCACAGGAGAAAGGAUAAAUGAACCAUGUCAUGCCCACACAAUGGAAUACUCGACAGCAAUGAAGACGAACAACAGUGUCACGCAUCAACGCAGAUGUACCUCCCAACAAUACUGUGAGAGAAAAAGGCAAGUCACCAAAGAACACGUAUGUAUGAGGCCAUUCAAAUAGCUCUUCUGGAUUUCACUCCUGGGGAUGUCAAGGACCCACUAGAGUUUCCAAGCCAUGUUCACAUGUCACCUCCUUGACUAAAGGGACAUGACCAAUAAAUGCAAUGUGGGGUCCUGAACUGGAUCCUAGAGCAGGACAGAAAUAGCUAUAAAGGACAUUCUUGGGACAAUUGACGUUUAGAUAUGGAUUGUGGGGUUCGAUCAUAGUAUCAUAUCAAUGCAAAUUGUCCUAGCUCUGAUAAGCAUAUGUGUUUAUGUAAGAGAAUGUCCUUGUUUUUAGGGAACAAACACUGAAAUAUACAAUAGUAGAGAGGCAUCAUGUCUCCACCAUACUCUCAGAUGGUUCAGGAGAAAUAUGCGUGUGUCUCCGUACAUAUUAAUAUAGAGAGAAUGGUACAGCCAGUGGGACAAGUUGUAAGCAAUUGGUGAAUCUAGGUAAAGGGUAUAUGGGAAAUUGCAUCAAAAUUAAAAGUUAUGAACAUGGGGGAGAAAACCCAGUUCUUCUAUAAAAACAGCCUCCAGCCUCUCCCUCCAGCACAACCUGUCCCCACACGUGGGGCACCCGGCACCCAUGCUCUGGCUCUUGUCUCUCUGGGUCUUAGUCCCACUUAGCACCCCACACCCAAAGGUCAUGUUUUCACAGAUGUGUACCCUCAAGACUAAACACACACUUGAGGCAUUCAUGUGACUAUACAUAUUUAUGGAAAAAGAAAAUUCUUGGGCUCACAAAACUGAACGCUCCAGGGUGGACUGUCUCAGGUGGCCUUAAUCGGGGUGCUGACAACAUCCAGACGAGCACGCAGGCUUCUCUCCCUGCCACGGCGGUGCCAUUCUCCAACGGACUCUGCCGCCGUGGCUGCAAGAUGGUGGCAGCAGCUCCAACCCCUGCACCCUUUUGUGGCCAAGUCCAGUGGGAAGAAUGUGAGGUCUUCUUCCAGAAGCUUCUGCAGAUUCUCAUUAGCUUCAGCUGGGUCAUGUGUCUGUCAUCCCUGACCUGGCCUCUGGGGUCAGGAAGGCACCAUGGUCAGACUGGCCAGGCCUGAGCCCCAAGCCCCAAGUCCAACCUCUUCACAAAGCACAGCUGGCUGGGGCAGAGCGGUGCCCCCAGUGGAAAAUCAAGAUGCAGUUUCAGAAGGAUGGAAAUGGAUGCUGGGUGGCGAAACGGCAGAAACCCACCCCGGCCCACGCCCUUGCCUGUCCAAAAUCCAUGCACAUGCUUCUUCCCAUGCUCCCUCUGGGGGAGGUGUGCUAGGCAGCACAGAUGUAUGCACAGCUCCCCACAGAUGCCACCCUCAUCCUUGGAAACUGUCAAUGCCCAUGAAUUUGUUACCUCACGUAGCAAAAGAGACUUUGCAGAUGUAAUUAAGGCUGCUCGUCAGUUGACCUUAAAAUAGGGAGAGUGUCUUGGAUCAUCCACAUGGGCUCAGUGGGUCACACAAGCCCUUAAAAGCAGAGAACUUUCCAUGGCUGGUGGCAGAGGUAGAAAGGACAUUGGAAAGAGACAGCAUGGGGGAAAGGGAGAUUUAAAGCUUGGGAAGGAAGGAUGGAAAGCGCGACUGCUGCUUUGAAAACAAAGGAAGCCUCAGGCCACGUAGCAAAGAAAUGGAGACCCCAGGCCUGCAAUCAUAAGCGACUGAAUUCUGCUCACAACCCUAAUGAGCACCUCCGGGAAAGAGCCCAGCCUGCCAACACCUCGAUUUUGCCUUGUAAGCCCCUAAGCAGAAAAUACAGUUGAGGCACUCUCUGCCCAGACUUGCAGUGCACAGAAACUGUGAUGCUAAAUGGAUGUUGCUUGAAGCUGCUCAGUUGGUGGCACUUUGUUACAGCAGCAAUGGAAAAUGAAUACUGGAGGUAACACUGUCUCUCCCAGUGACAGGUCCGGCUCCAGGAGCUGGACCCCAGUGACCGUGUUACAGUCUAGGCUUAAGGCCCCCCUCACUCCCAACCUCACCUGUGCAGAGAGGGAAGGAAAAGUGCCAUGUCAACCCCCAGUAAGGGAAAGGAGGAUGGGAGACCCCUAGCCUGCAGCACAUCCAAAGCCCUGCUAGAAAAAUACUGAGAAAUGUUAGACAUUGAGCUACCACAGGACCCAGGAUUACAACUCCUGGGUAUCUACCCAAGGCAAAUGAAAACAUGUGUCCCCAGAAAAAUUUGCACACAAUGUUCAUAGCAGCAUUAUUUAUAAUAAUUGAGAAAUGGGAAUAGCCCAAAUGCCCAUCAGCUAAUGAAUAGAUAAACAAAAUAUGGCAUAGCUAUACAAUGGAAUAUUAUAUGGCCCUAAAAAGUAAUGAAGAAGCCAGACAUAAAAGGCUUUGUGUGAUUCCAUUUCCAGACAGAAAGCAGAUUAGUAGUUGCUGCAGGCUGGCGGGAGGGAGGAAUGGAAAGUGGCUGCUAACAGGAACACGGUUUAUUCUGGGGGCAAUGAAAGUGUUCUAAACUUAGAUGUGAUGAUGGAUGUACAACUGCGUGAAUAUACUAAAAAGCAUUGAAUGGCAUUGAAUGGUUCAUCUUAAAUGGGUGAAUUUUAUAGUGCGUGAAUUAUAUAGAUAAAGAUGUAAAAGAUUUGUUUAACAUCAAUAAAGAUGUAAAAAAAAAAAUGUUGAGUUUCUUGGGCAGCCAGUUCAACUGCCCAGCCCUGCCCUCUAGGAGGAAAACGAGUACUCCCUGCCCACCCUUCACCAUUCCCACAUCUGAAGUGGGCAUUGGGGAUCUCAGUUCUCUAGUGGCCAGUUCCUAAUGGUGCAGAUUCUAGACUGCAGAGAUUGCUUGGGCUUGGAAAUAACAUCACAGACUUUUUCAAAAAAAUUUUUGUCUUGUUUUUGUGUUUUGUUUUGCUUUUUGUUUGCUUGUUUGUUUGUUUUUACCAGACUUGAAGUUUUGGGGCAGUACAACUCCAUCAAAAAAAUUUUGACCUCAAGUGAUCUGCCCAUUUCAGCCUCCCAAAGUGCUGGGAUUACAGGCAUGAACCACCGCACCCAGCCUCCAUCAAAAAUGUAUUAGGCAUUUCCCUGUCUUUAUUUUUAAAUAUAUAUAUAUUGUAGUCUGGGCAUGGUGGUUCACACCUGUAAUCCUAGCACUUUGGGAGGCUGAAGAGGGAGGCUUGCUUGAGCCCAGGAGUUCAAGACCAGCCUGGGCAACAUAGCAAGAGCUCUUCUCUACUAAAAAUAAAAAUUAAAAAAAAUUAGCCAGGCUAUGUGGUACAUGCCUGUAGUCCUAGCUACUCAGGAGGCUGAGGCAGGAGGAUUGCUUGAGCCCAAGAGUUCAAGAUUGCAGUGAGCUAUGAGUACACCACUGCACUCCAGUCUGGGCAACAGAGCCAAACACUGUCUCAAA
rnacentral:lncRNA from 1 species